CCUGAGACUAUAAGUCUCCUGAAGGAACGUUAAAGACGAUGACGUUGAUAGGCCGGGUGUGUAAGCGCAGCGAUGCGUUGAGCUAACCGGUACUAAUGAACCGUGAGGCUUAACCUUACAACGCCGAAG
rnacentral:rRNA from 1 species